GACGAACGCUGGCGGCGCGCUUAACACAUGCAAGUCGAACGGAAAGGCCUGCUUUCCCUUGUGGAUUGCGGGUACUCGAGUGGCGAACGGGUGAGUAACACGUGAGUGAUCUGCCCCCAACUUGGGUAUAAGCCUGGGAAACUGGGUCUAAUUCCCGAUAGGACUGCAGGGUGGUGCCUGUGGUGGAAAACGAUUUUCUAGUGGUUGGGGAUGAGCUCGCGGCCUAUCAGCUUGUUGGUGGGGUAAUGGCCUACCAAGGCGGCGACGGGUAGCCGGCCUGGGAGGGUGGACGGCCACAUUGGGACUGAUAUACGGCCCAGACUCCUACGGGAGGCAGCAGUGGGGAAUAUUGCACAAUGGGCGGAAGCCUGAUGCAGCGACGCCGCGUGGGGGAUGACGGCCUUCGGGUUGUAAACUCCUUUCGACCGCGAGGAAGCCACCUGGUUGGAAGGGUGGUGACGGUAGUGGUAGAAGAAGCACCGGCUAACUACGUG
rnacentral:rRNA from 1 species